rnacentral:rRNA from 1 species
UACGUAUGGGGCGAGCGUUUUUCGGAAUUAUUGGGCGUAAAGGGCAUCUAGGCGGGGGAUUAAGUUGGGUGUGAAAGACUUGGGCUCAACUCGAGAAUUGCAUCCAAAACUGGUUCUCUUGAGUUCGGGAGAGGAGAGCGGAAUUCCCGGUGUAGCGGUGAAAUGCGUAGAUAUCGGGAAGAACACCAGUGGCGAAGGCGGCUCUCUGGCCUAGAACUGACGCUGAAGUGCGAAAGCGUGGGGAGCGAACGGG